CACUUUGUAUCUUCCAAGUUAAUAAAGAAAGACAACAAAUACAGUUUCAACACUUACCUAUACCAGAGAUUAAUCAGUAGAUUUCUGCAAAGAUUUUUGCCUGUCACGUACUGUCUGAGUACCAGGAAUUCAUGCUACCAGAGACCCUGAUACUUUGAAGUUCAAACACAUUUUAAAAGGCAGGUUUCAAUUUUGUGCGGUUAUUACUGUAUUUCAGUCCAUUUUUGAAUCCCAGAAUAUGCUUUGGAACUUUCCUUUUCCUGGAGCUAUCAGAUUUUCAGCUGAUGACUGAAAAUGUCUCCCAGCAUCUCCAACUCCAAGUAAUAUAAAAAUGUCUGUAUUUGCUUGUUGAAGCAGCUUAUUCUAUGUGGAAAUUUUGUAAUGAAAUACAGCUUAUUCUGUGUCGUACAAGCAGGUAUUUCAUUUCUAUGAGAUGGAGUGGUCAAAGGAAGCUACUGAGGUAGCUUUGUGUGGAACACUCACCUCCUGACUUUCACCUCCCUUUUCUGAUUCAGAUGUCCUACUGCAAUUCCAGCCUCUCCUGCUGUUUCUGUUUCCAGAUGGUGACAUGCAGCAGGCUUCCCACAAACAUUGAGACAUCCAGCCAUACCUGGGCAAUUCAGAACAGCUUCACAGCUAGACAGCAGAAGCAGUCUUUCCCAGUGAUUCAGCUUUGAGACUAUGAGAAAGCAGUCUAACAUAUACAAAAGAUGUUUUUUUAACUUUUCAUCUUAACCAGAGUUUGACGUACUGUUUCAGCAUCACUCGCUGAGGAAAUGCUUCCAAUUGGAUGUGAUCAUAGUCAGCCAAUAAUCUUUCUAAUAGUACUGAACUCUAAUACUUUUUUUUCCUCGUAAAAACCCUCAACGAACUGACCAGAGGUGGGGGUGUGUGGAACAACUGGUGUUUGGUAUAUGACACUUUUUUCAGUUCCAGAUUAGCAGUUCAAAUCCAACCUGUGUCAGUUGUGACUAAGAUGGUUAUUCACAGGACUAACUUUUGUCUAGGGUAGAUUUCCUGUGAAAUUGAUGGUGAGAGAUAGGGUUUUCUAACAGAUGAUUCAGGGCAGGAAAAGGUAGGUUCUGCUCUGAAUCACCUUCAGGAGCGUUCUUCUCUUCUUUGUGGCAUGGAGACAGGAGCCUCAGUCCCACAUGAGGAAGCUUCUUGCAUGGUCCUGCCAGUAGUCCAUCUAACCCUCUUUUUCUCAAGCCAACAACAAAUGCUCUGUGCAGAGAGAAUGUGAGCCUGGCCACUUUCUGUGGGUCUUUCUCUUCAAACUCCCCAGCAUCUGCAAUUGUUGUAUUAAGGAUGUUAAAGGAUAUGUCCCUGCCUAUUCCCUCUGGUAGUUAUUUAUGGACCUUUUUGAGUCUGCUGAUACUGUCUGCCCCACAGCCUCCUGUGGCAACAAAUCCCAGAAGUUCAGUCUCCAUUGUGUAAGCACUGUAUCUGUUUUAAAUCUUUUCCUACUAGUUUCAACGAGUUCCCCCUGGUUCUAGCACUGCAGGGUUUGGUGGAUAACAGUUCUACAUUCACCUUAUCUGCCAUCUUCAUGACUUUCUAAAUCCCAAGCGUGCCUUCCUCAGCCUUCUCUCCAAACUGAAGAGUUUCUGCCUUUUACUCUUUUUCAUUAGGCAGCUGCUCCACUACCAUUACCAUUUUAAUGCCUCUUCUCUGACUCCACUACGUUCUUCUUGAGAUGGGGAAAGCAGAACUGCACACAACAUCCAUGUCAGAGGUGCACCCAGGCUGUAUGUACCAAUGCAAAAUAGUGCCUUCUGUCUUACUCUCCUCACCCCUCCUGCCAAAAGCACACAUUCUGUUGGCUUUUCGGACUUCCACUGGUCAUUGCAUCGACAAUUUUGGAGAACUAAGCUGCAGACACCUCUCAGCAAUACUACCCUGAGCGUCACUUCCAGACUAUGUGCUGACUGGUAUGAAAGGAUUCCUUUCUCUCGGAUCAGUCCCCACUCAGAACAAGUCACAGCAUCAGGCAGCUCUGCUGAGUGUCGCGUUAGCUUGCUGGACCGUGGGGAUGAACCAGCCCCUGCGAGUGGGUGAGGAAAGCUGUCCUGUGGCUCUCCCUGCUGUAAUUCUCCCGUGAGCAAGCAGAUUACUUUAGUAUUCAAAGCUGUCAAUUUGGCUCUGAUCAGAGGAGCUAAAUUCAGUUUAAGCGGGAAGAAAAAAGAAUGAGAACUAACUAAAAAAUCUGCUUCAUGAGAAAUAUCUGAACACUUCUUUGUUGUUUUCAUACUUCCUAGAUGCUUGGUUACUGCCUCUGAAUGGACGGCUUCAAAGGAGCAAUUAAAAAAUGUGUGCAUGGAUACACAGAUGAGCCCUGUUUGCACACAAAAACUUUAUUCUGAGCUACCUUAUGUCACCCCUUUUAGCAGGAGUCAUCACGAGGGCAUGACACCAAUAAGCAGACAAUGAAUAAAGAAAAUAACUGUUUAUAAGUUCAUCGUUGGCAUACGAAAGUUAUUGAAGAAGAACUGAUAUUCUAGGCAGCUGGCCAUCACUGCUGCAUAUCAGCCCGCUGUUCUCCCAGUGAUUACAGGAUGAUUUUAAAGCCCAUUUUAAAAGCACCUGUAAGAGAUCUCUGAGCUUGGCAGGUACAACUCUGUGUGCUCUGAUAAACACGCUUGCCCCAUGUUUUGUGUGCACACUGAAGUCUGUAGAUAAGGACGCUGAGCAAGCAGGUACUGAAUUAGAUGCUGUCCCUCCCACAUGCACUCAAAUACAAGCGUGGUGCUUCAACUACAAAACAUGAAAACACAUGAGAAAAGUUAGUGCAAGUGGAUUAGGGAAUUCAGUCCAGACCUGGGGACAUUGUGUCCACUCCAAAGGAUCAGCCUCAGUGCUACCAAGGCAAAUCUCAAGUGUUAUUACUCCUAGAUAUGGGGAAAAUUCUGAAAUAAGUUCUCAGAACUUAGAUUUUCAUCUUAAUGUGGAAAUUCUGACUUGUAAAAGGUACGUGUGCUUAUAGGGAAGGGGGGCAACUUAAUUGCAUUAGCAAGCAACGUGUGUUUAUUUCACUUCUCUCACUUGGCAUAUAUGAAACACUCUCAGAAACUUCCUAAUUUCUAAUGAAAAUAAUCACAGAACCCCAUCCCUCAGAGGUUAGUUGCCUGUGCUGGACGCGAGUCUGAAAGUGAUCUUAAAUGACCAAAAUUAAAUCUGGUGCUGGUAGUAAGGAUACAGCACAGCAUUGUUCACUGCAUAUUGCUAAAGCAUAUUAUGUGCUUUAGCUGAACAGCGUUUCAAGUUAGGGAGCUUCUGAAUUUGCUGGUUAAUGGCAAAUUGAGAUUCUCAAUAAAUAGACAGGUAUCUGUGGUUUCUUGCUCUGUGAGAGCCAAGGCAGGCUCACAGGGCUUGGAACUGCCUCCCUUAGAAGGUCACUGCUGCCUGAGGAAGAAGCACUGGUGGAUACUUCCAAAGGUACCAAGGAAGUGCAAAAACACACUGGGAGCACUGACUGCACUUCAUUUGACAUCAGCUGAGCUUGUGCGCUUAUCCACACCCUGCUUCCAUCUACAGUUUCCUUCCUUCAGAUCCCAAAACACUUUGAAAAACCAAGCAACUGCAAUGAUGGUUUUUUUUUUUUUUUGCUAUUCCUGAUCCACUGAUCUCAGUACUCCCCAUCAUUUUGUUUCCAUUUUGCAGAUGGGGAAGUUAUGGACUUGUCCUAAGGGCCCAGCAAUCAAGAGUAGAGCUAGAGAAUCCAGACUUCCCAGGACCCCAUCUAAUACUCUGCUCGGAAAAGCUGUAAGCAGUCAGGCUUCUCCUUACCAUCUUCACUUCUGGAUAUGUUGACUUUUCCGUGGUGAUUUGUUCUACUGGGGAUUCACAGUGGGAAAAGCUGCAGCGAUGCACAAGAUCAGCACGUCCUCUUCAAGGCACGUGUCAGUGUCCUCAGUGUUUCACUUAUGCCAGUUCUCUACCUGUCACUCUCACAAAGAGGGAAUAUCCAUCAGUGUGGGUUGCUACGACUUUUCCCAAUGGCCUGUGCACGAUGACUACUUUGGAAGAUUUGCCAGAGUAAUCUCUUGUUGAGUUCAACUCAAAGCAAAUGGCCAGCUCAUGAGCUUCAUUCAGUUCUCUCCCACUCAUCUGCAGAUUUAAAAGCACACAAAACAGUAAAAAAUGCAUCCCUGUCGUAUAGGGAGCUAAAGCGAGAUGAAAUCGUGCCUUUCUUACAAUACAACCAUUGGUAUCUAUGUUUUAAAGAACAAGCCAAAAAAUACACGUUGAUACGUGGAAGAUAAAUAGAAAAAAAGACUUCAGAUUUUCUGUCUCUGAAGAGACAAAGCCCUCUGAGGAGGGCUACUCCAAUUUACAUUAACUAAAUGUUCAGCCCUGCUUUUACAGAAAGAGUUGCAGGUUUUUCUGAAACCCACAGGCAAUAUUACUUUAAGAAGCACAUCAGCUGAACAGCUUUUGCCUAAGCCUUGAUUUCUAGUCUCUCUUUCCAUCUCUCAAUGGUUAAUAUUAAUCUUCAAAGUCAAAGUUCAAUUCAGCUGACUUCUGGUCCCACAGACAGUGUUAACUUCAGUGGCAUUGAGAAUUGGCUCUAAAAGCUGAAAGAUAAGAGUUUGCAUUCAAUAGGCUGUGAUUAGCUGCAGUAAAAAGAAUACAGAACGGAGAAUUCAGAACUUGUAAGAGAAAUAGACAUCCAUUAUUCUUGACAAAACUCCACUGGUCUAAGAACAAUUGUUAUUAGGAAUGGCUGCGAUGAUUCAUUGUGCAACUUAAUUUAGUGCAAUCUAAUUUUCAUUAUUAGCUUUAACUUACCUAUAAAUGUUAAAUGCUGCUUCAACUUUAGCCAUAGAUUUUUCACCCACCUUGAUACCAAACAGGAUCGGUCAUCUGGGGCUUCCUCCCUGUGUGAUUUAAAUCACUGACGUGACUCCAACCACAUCUUCUGGAAAUGUCUUUGAAGGCAGUAUCACUCAAGACACAGAGCUGCUUCUCAAGGAAAAAAAGACUACCCCAGUAAUGUGACAAAAAUCUGCCUAUCAAGCCACCAAGGCAGGACACUAGGUUUUAUGAACCACUUCAUUUCAUGUAGUUGUGGUUUAACUCCAUUCUCUCUGCAGAUUGGAGAAAAUUCUCGUUGUACAUAGAUUUUACCCCACGGGAAAUGCUUUAAACAAGCACUGGUCACAGAACACACAAUUUGUGUCGUAUCAUCUCAUACCAGUACCAUCAUCUGGCUUGUGUAUUCGUGUCUCCUGCUUUUUGUUUUUAAGUGUGAAAUGGCCACACAUAUGCUAAAAUAGCACAAACAUAAAAUAUCCCUUUUAAAGAAAUAACUCACUGUUCAGGGAUUGGAAAGGAAGAUGAGUGAAUUGCAUAGCAGAAGAUGUAGGUAUAGUUCAGACAGAAAGAAAACAUACUUGCUUUUGUCAGCCAGACUGACUUUAUACAAGAAUCACUUCAAUCAGAACAUUUUUACUUAUUCUGCCCCCCUGAGAAAAGUGUCAUCCAUUAGUAUAAAAAAAAAAGGCAAGAAGUUGAAAGCUAUUAUUUACCCCACCCUCUAGAUUGAGUUCUUAUCCUCAAAUGAACUUUAUUUUUUGACCGGCUCACUAAUUAUGAUUGAAAACACUGGCCCCUCCAAACAGCACAGAAGUAUUAGAGUUUGCAGCAAAAAGACAAGGCUUAAUUGGUCCUUAUACAUAAAAGCGGAAACAUAAAACUUCUAAAUAUAAGUUUCUGGCACAUCUUUUGUUGCUAUUACAGUAAAAUAAGGUACACCAGAGUGAAAUUCCAGCUGAUUUGCACAGAAAUCUGUGCCAAAGUGUUUUCUAGUGACUGCUCUUCAAAGCAGGAAUGGAGGCACACAAAUGCUAUUGUGUGCAAUUUGGAAUUCCAAAAUAGCCAGUAAAUCACACAACCUCCACUAGGUGAAUAAUGAAGUGGCACCGGGCCAUCCUUUUUAAUGGUUUGUAGGAUAAAAUCCACAAUUAGGAAAUAAGAAGCAGGUUGCUGCUACGCUAACCUUUCUCUCUGUCCCACUCCUUUAGUUAUUUCUGAUUCAGCAAGGAACAGAAGCGUGCCUACAAGCCCAGCUAGAUAGGCUUGGUGUCACUCUGAUGUUGUAUGUGGUCUCAACUGGCAGCAUCAGAACUGACAUUAGAAAUCCCAACUUCACGAAAUGAACAGUGAUUAUCUGGAUUCUGAAUCUGCUAGGAAAAAAAAUAAAGGCAGAAAAAAGAAAAAAAAAAAAAAAAAAAAAGAAAGCAAGAAAGAACGAAAGAAAAGAAAAAAAAAAAACAACCAACAAAACAGCUAAAGUCUUUCCCAAGAGCAAUUGCCCUUUCUGGCAGGAAGGGGUAAAAAUAGAGGCAGCUCAUUAAUAUGGCUUGGCAGUGCUUAAUGGCAGCUGGUCUGAAGAGCCAGAUCAGUGGGCCUUUCCAGCAGUACUCCCGGACCGCUGCCAGCAGGUGUUGCUGUGUUCAACAAAAUGAGAAGAAGUGGAGGGGUGGGGAGAAAAAUAUUUAUAAAGAGAGAAAUAGGUGUGAAAAAAAAAUUAGUCACUGAGUAAAGCUUUCAUUAGGCCUUUGGUAAAGCUAUACACGAAUUCCCCGAGGCAACAAGGAGCAUGCUCUGAAAUGAAUAAUGCUUUUCACUUCUCCUAAUCUCCUUUCAGAAAUUAUCCUGGCUAUAAAUCACGCACACGGUUGCUGUGCUCUGCUUGUAGCCCUCCGGUUCUGCCACAGACCACACACCCUCCCCGGACCCCAGCCCUCAGCAGCCCCCAGCCUGAUGCUUGGGUACAGAGCUCUGGUACUUGUGGGGCAGAUUUUCCACUCUCUAUAAAACCAAGGCAGUACAAGAUCUCUUGCUGAGCGCCUGUCUGCUGCCAAAUGACAGCAGUCACUGUGCCACCAGUAUGUAACUAAUUUCAGAGGGGUUGAGGACGCCGGUUAGAACCAAAUUCAGUUUGGUCCUGAGAAAAACACAGUUCUGAGUCCUCUGUCAAAGCUUGGGUUUAGGAUCCCCACAAAAGUGACUGUCCUGCACAGAAGUAGGUACGUGCAUGCUCACCAUUUGUUUCUUCAAGCGCGUCUCUCUCGCUGUCCUUCAAGGAGGAAAAAUAAAAAUAAAAUGUUCUUUGCAACAACUGGAACCCUCAGUGUCAGACCGCAGAAAAAAAAAACGAAGGAAACCUGUUUCAAGGGGCUUCAAUCCACGGCGCGUUACAGCCUGAAAACUUAUUAUAUGCAUGUAAAAACUGGGAAACAAAACAACCUAUCUGGUCAUAUGUUUCCCAUUAACUCCCGAUUUUUUGCUCAUUCUACUAAAGCUGUUGUGUGAAUAGAGCACAUAGUUUGGUUGGAAUCAGUGCUGCUCUGAGUACUCCCUGGUAUCAGGGAGAAGAAAAUUUGAAAUCUUUCUUGCCUGAUCCACAGCAGUCAUAUUCUGAGACAGAUUAAAUGUGCAUUACCGACAGGACAUAAAAAUACAAUUGUAAGUACGAUUCAGGCCAAGAAAAAAAAAAAUCUGAAGGAUGGGGAUUUUCUGGUAAUCAGUGGGUGUUUUGAAUGAGUAAAGACUGCAUGAUCAUGCCAUUUGUCAUAAACGGUACCACAUAAAACCAGUUAUUAUGUGUGUUUAAGAAAGGAGAUUGAUUUUCAAUUUACUUGUGACCUUAUGUAUAUCUAUUAAUUUUGUACUGCCUAAUUGGCAUACGGUAAUUUUUGAGUUUCGCUAAUGUAAACUGAAAUGGAAGUUGAAGUUGAUUUUAUUUCACCUGUAAUUCAUUGCAGCUUAUUUUUAGAUGUCUAAAUAGUUUUUAAUAGUGAUGUAAUCUGCACGUCAAGAAGCCAUGAGACUUGGACAUGAGCAAUAUGAUUCAUUUUUGAAGAACUUUAAAAGUAUGCCUAAGUUAACAGAAGGACAUAUUUGUACAAAGAGUGAACUAAAAAUUGUAUCCUCUGCAAAAGGAUUCUUAACCAGAUGCAUUUUCCUGAAUUUGAAAAUAAUCCAAAUUUGCAGAUAGAUUAUCUGGUAUAUCCUUAGCACGAUAGCAGACUCAAACAAUUUGCUAACUAGUAAUUAAAUAUCUGGCAAACACUGCAUUUGAACUAAAUCAGUGUUAUCUACAUCUAAUAAUAUCUAUAUCUAGCUAUGCAAUAAAACAAGUUGGAGAGUGUCUUCUGACUCAUAGUGUUUGCAUUCAGUCUGAUUUUAAGUUCUAUUCUUUAAAUGGAUACAGAGAUCACCACUACAAGUUGAAUCCACGAUAUUUUGUCAUGCUAGACAAUUAGGAGUUUCCAUUAGAUAAUUACCAGAAGUAUGUCUCAUACAGGAAAAACAGUCAAUUGCUGAUGUAACAGGAUUAACCAAUCCAGCACACUGAUCCGGCCCACUUACUCUUGACAGACACUAUAUGUGAGUGUACACACGAGAAGUACAGUAUAAAGCUUCGCAUUAUAAGUACCACAAAGAGGAACUUCAGCAGUUCUUAAUGCACAAUACAGCAGUCUCCUUCUCAGAGUGAGGACUAGAGAGGUAAAACUUUAAACCAGCUUUUUUUUUUUUUUUUUCUUCUAAAACUAAAACUUUCAAUUCAUGUGCAUGCUGUUGCAUAUUGCUAGGGCGAUGCUGAAUGAAUGUAUAUGCAGAGCUUUGCAGCUCAGGUAAUUUUAUGGAAAGAAUCUGCACCAGCAUUUCUCUAUUUAUUCAAACCCUGUAUUUUCAGACGUGAACAUAGAUGUGUGUGUGCAUGCAUAUCUGGAAGGAUGAAUGAACUCUCUAUCAGUGGUACCAGCAAAAUCGCUUUCAGAAAACAAUGCUUUUAGAAAGUUGUGCUUUAGCAUUAAAUCUGUCAUCAGCAUGGCAUGCAGGCAUGCUACGCUCUCCCUACGUGUAACAGGCUGUGAGAGGUGUACCUGUUACAUUGGCAAGCAGCGCACGCCGCACAGCAACAACUCAAGUGCACUGUCUGUCUUUUAAACUGAAAUAUGCCUAUCCCUUACUUCUCAUCAGACACUUUUGGGAUAGAUACUGUAUUAGAACUAUAAAUAACUCCUUUAAUUAUGUCAUCUGUUAGUACAUCUAAUCAUGAAUGCGUAUUUUCAUCUGAAUUUUUUUUUCUUUUUUUCCUUUGGUCCAAUUAAACUUUUAGUUCUAUUUCAAGCUGACUUUCAGACUUCAUAUAAUUACAACAGACUUUGGGCUGUUCACAAGAUCCAAGAAAUUUAGAUGUAUUAUAGCGAGGUUUGUGUUACAAAGAUGUGUUUAUAAGAAUGGCUGCAGGGUUUAUAAUGCUGACAGACCUGUAAGUGUAACAGUAUAUAACAGUAUAGCAACUGAGGUCAGUAAAACGCAGAUGAGGGUGUACUGUGAAUGCCUUCUAACAGUGAAAGACUUAUAAAAUACCUUAAUUGAAAAGGACUUGCAAUAUAUAACAUUUGUAAAACUUGGUUGAUUUUUCAAUUACUUCUGUAUGCUUCACUCUCUCCAACUCCAAUCCCUUGCCUGUCUCUCUGCCCGCGUGCCGGGAGCUAUCUCACGGAAACGACAGACCUCACAGUGCUCAUCUUUAUAAAUUACUCUUUCCCACUCAAAUACAGUGGUUGAUGGUAAUGUACUGAAAGUGAAAUGUUUGCUUGGAAGGAGGUAAGCACACCUGAGAAGACAGAGGUGUGUGUGAGAGAGAGAGAGAGAGAACGAAAGAAGGUAAAUGCCAAAGAAGCAGAAGCUCUGAGAAAAUCAGUAAAAGUUUAAGUCCAGUGUGAAAGAACCUCAGAAGCUCAACUCCAUCAGCUGUAGUUUUCUCUGUUACAAAGUCCAAAUGUGAGGGAGUUUGUUAGCUUCACCCUCGCUAAGUAAGGUGCAGCACAGAGAUGCUGCUGAGGUUAGAGGCAAUACGAAGCCCUAAGAGAAACUUCCCAUUGCAGGGCAGAAGCCUCAUCGGAAUGAGCUGCUAAGGUUCUGCUGACAUGGACUGGAACUCUGGCUCCUAGCAGUGCUUUAAGAUUGCUUUUCACUCAUUAUGUCUUAUUCUAAUAUUAUGAUUCUGUGGUUUAAAUGAAUGAAACAAAAAGUUCCUUUGAAUAACAAUGGGCCAAAUGUAGAAGAUCUUAGUCUUCACUCAGACAGAAUUAUUAUUGGCACUGAUGAGGGAUUUGCUUGAGUCAGGAGCAAGUACGAUUUGGCCAGAUGACAUGUAAUAUGUUCCGUCUUCAAAGCAUUUUUCAGACAUUACUUGAUUAAUCCCAAACCUAAAUAGGAACUUCUAGGCACAGGCUAGCAUAGCAGCAGGGAUGUUUCUGGUUCCCGAGCAGUACCUUUGCAUGUCACAGACCUGUGCCCUACCAGCUCCUCCUGCUCGUGCUCUCAGUGCCUGGCUUGCAUUCUGCAGCUGGAGAGCGUAUCAAGUAUAAUAGAGCCCUCCAAACAACAGGAUUAUUUUGCUUCUGUCAGAUCUCCUGCCAGUGUUGAUAACCUCCAGCAUUUACAAAUGAGCAGAAAAGAUCUUUUUCUCUUCCACUCAAGGCAGAAUAGCGUUCUGCCCAAAAUACUUUCAGCCCCUGCCGUCAUCCCCAUCUUGUUCACAAGCUAUUUAAGAUCUCCUGCUAACCCUAACAAUACCAGGCAGGACAAGAGCAAGGUGCUCAUUAAUAAAAGGUUUCACUCUUCAUUCAUUCAUGUUUCCUCUGUUUAGUUAAGCCAGUGAUACUGUUGUAGGAAUAAAACAAAUGGAAAAAAAAAAAAAAAAAAAAGAAAAGAAAAAAAAAAGAGAGAAAAAAGGAGGGGGAAUGUGACAGCCAGGAGGGAGCCAGAAGGGUCAAACUGGGAAAAAGGAAGAGUAAAUUUACAGGAAUGGAGAGAGAUUUUAGAGAGGAGGGCAGAAAGCCUGAGUAGUGAUAUUUGAAGAGAGGUGUGUGUUAGGGGAGCAAUGAGCAUAAGGAAGCCAGCCUGCCUGUUCCUCCCCCUUCCUAAUCAUAGCCUUUACUCACAGACAAAACUCCCUCCCUCUCCCAUUCACUCACUCACUUUAGGCCAAUCCGUCCUCUCCCUCUCUCUCCCUCUCUCUGUGUCUCUCUCCUACUCUGAGACAGAGUCAGAACUCUUCUCCCUGACAGCCACUAACAUCUACAGCACUUAUUGCAUUCAGAGAGGGAACCUGCAAACAAAACUUCACAGAAAACUUUUGGUUCUUGUUCCAGAGAAUUUGCUGAAGAGAAAGAAAAACAAACAAACAAACAAACAACACAAACCAGCCCCCAAAAAAACUGUGCGUGAAGGGGGAGGAAAAGCAGGGCCUUUUAAAAAGGGAAUCACAACAACUUUUGCUGCCAGGAUGCCUUUGCUUUGGAAGAGAGGAUUUCUGUUGGUGAUUUGCUGGAUUAUAGUGAGGAGUUCCCCAACCCCAGGAUCCGAGGGGCACAGUUCAGUCACUGACUGUCCAUCAUGUGCCCUCACCACGCUCUCGAAGGAUGUGCCCAGCUCACAGCCUGAGAUGGUGGAAGCAGUAAAGAAGCACAUACUGAACAUGUUGCACUUGAGGGACAGACCUAACAUCACCCAGCCUGUGCCCAAGGCAGCACUUUUAAAUGCCAUCAAGAAACUCCAUGUGGGAAAGGUGGGAGACGAUGGCUAUGUGGAAAUAGAGGAUGAUGUUGGAAGAAGAGCAGAAAUGAAUGAAGUUGUGGAGCAAACCUCAGAAAUCAUCACUUUUGCAGAAUCAGGAACACCCAAGAAAACGUUGCACUUUGAGAUUUCCAAGGAAGGCAGCGAAUUAUCGGUGGUUGAGCAUGCUGAAGUGUGGCUCUUCUUGAAGGUCUCCAAGGCCAACCGGAGCAGGACAAAAGUCACCAUCCGCCUGUUUCAACAGCAGCGGCAGCCGAAGGGCAACUCUGAAGGAGCGGAAGAUAUGGAGGAUGGGGGGCUAAAAGGUGAAAGGAGCGAAACUCUGAUUUCAGAAAAAGCAGUAGACACUCGAAAGAGCACGUGGCACAUCUUUCCUGUCUCCAGCAGUGUCCAGCGACUCCUGGACCAAGGCAAGAGCUCCUUGGAUGUGCGGAUUGCCUGUGACUUGUGCCAAGAGACCGGGGCCAGCCUGGUGUUACUAGGCAAGAAAAAGAAAAAGGAAGAUGACGGGGAAGGGAAAGAGAAGGAUGCUGGAGAACUCACAGGAGAAGAAGAGAAGGAGCAAUCGCAUAGGCCCUUCCUAAUGAUGCUUGCCCGGCACUCAGAGGACCGCCAGCACAGGCGGCGGAGGCGAGGCCUGGAGUGUGAUGGCAAAGUUAACAUCUGCUGCAAGAAGCAGUUCUUUGUCAGCUUCAAGGACAUAGGAUGGAGUGACUGGAUCAUUGCACCUACAGGUUAUCACGCUAACUACUGUGAAGGAGAGUGCCCCAGCCAUAUAGCAGGCACAUCUGGUUCAUCAUUAUCUUUCCACUCCACUGUAAUCAACCAUUACCGCAUGCGGGGCCACAGCCCCUUUGCCAACCUCAAGUCGUGUUGUGUGCCCACCAAACUGCGGCCCAUGUCCAUGCUGUACUACGACGACGGCCAGAACAUCAUCAAGAAAGAUAUACAGAACAUGAUUGUGGAGGAGUGUGGCUGUUCAUAGGCACGUGUGUGCACAAAACCCUUCUCUUUAUGUUGAGAAGAAAGUGUUUUAAAAGCCCAAGAAGAGAAAAAACCUGGCAUGAUUUAUAACUUUUUUGAAUGAAACAAUCAUCUGAAAUACAAAACAAAAAGAAAAAAAAAAAAAAGAAAAAGAAAAAAAGAAAAGGAAGAGAAAAUUAAAGAAAAAAAAAGAGGGAAAAGUUUUUUUUUUAAAAAAAGACUUAUGGAGGAGAGAAAAGGAGUACAGCUAUUAAGAGGAAGAAAGCUUCGUGAACCCAGGCUUGAAUGAGCUGCGUUUGAAUGGCGGACAGAGGACCAAAACCACCUCUGGUGUAAGUCCGGUGACUUCAGUGAAGUUACAACAGAGAUGUCUUUGGCUCACCGAGAAACCGCUUGUGCAGAUCAAUGCAAAGAAAGGACAGAGAGAAAGUGAGAAGGAAAGAAGGAAAGAAAGAGUCUUUGCAUUUGGAAUGGGAUUUCAACGUAUUGAAAAUGUUUGGGUCAGCUACUAUUUUACUUGGUUCUUUUUGUUAUUUUGCUCUUUCUUAUACAAUGACAGCAACAACACAAGUGAAAUAAAUAAAGGGAGUUUCACCAACCAUUGCGUAAUCGUCCCUUAAUACACAUCCCUGGUUGGGAAAUACAUGGGAGUUUGAAAAAUACCAGAAAAAUUUAACCUUAGAGGGGAGACAUAUGGGUGCCUCUUCAGAUGCAGCCCUGUAAUGCCUUUGUCUCCAGUCUGACUGUGCUAACUGUUCAGACUCUAGUCCUAGGCGUAAUGCAAUUUUAGGCUGUCCAUUUCUUGUGAAAUGCAGCCACUAUGAAAACCACAGUCGGUGACAGCUUCCCUCUGCCCACUGGCCGCUAGGUCUUCAGCUGUCACCACGGUUCCCUUGAGUAACCCAGAACUAGAUGCUUACACACAGAAAAGGAGAAUUUGUAUUUGACAAACCUGCAGGGAUGUCGGCUCACGUGCACUAGUUUAUAAAUUGAUCAGUAGCAGAUGAAGUCAUCAAAGAAGCCUGCUCACAGGCAGCGGUCUCUGGCCUGAGUGAGAAAUCAUCUGAAUACCCCCGAAUUUGAAAGUAAAUCGUACUUAUGAGGGAUUUUUACCAGUCAUUGCAUUCCUAGGGUGAUAAAUGGACUCCUGCUACAUUCCAGUGGGCUGAGAAUCAGUGAACAAGAAUUCUGAGGUUGAUCUUUAAAUGGAUUAUUUGCACGGUGCUCAAACACGAGCCACCACAGCCAUUAGCAGGCCUUUUAAUAGUCACGCACUGCAAGUUGUUUUGCAAAGGCUGGAGAAGUGAGUUUCCUUCCUCUUACUGAGAACAAGUUUUCAACAGAUCAGUGCAAUCACAGUUACAGGCCGCCUUUGUUUCAGAGAAAAUUAAGAUAUGAUUGAAUAUUUGCUUUCUUUCCUUUGCUAUGAUCACUAUUAUUACUACUGCCAUUAAGGAUAAAUCCAACUGGCUUUGGAAGCUGCACAAGCAAAAUACAAUCUUGUGGGCUACUUGAUUCAAACUGCUAUCAUAUUAACCUUGUAUAAAUGAGGCUUACACUUCAGGUGUAAAACAGGGAGU